CGUUGAAAUACCACUCUGGUCACUCUGGAUAUCUAACUUCGGCCCGUGAUCCGGGUCAGGGACAGUGCCUGAUGGGUAGUUUAACUGGGGCGGUUGCCUCCUAAAGUGUAACGGAGGCGCCCAAAGGUUCCCUCAGCCUGGUUGGCAAUCAGGUGUCGAGUGUAAGUGCACAAGGGAGCUUGACUGUGAGACGGACGUGUCGAGCAGGAGCGAAAGCUGGGACUAGUGACCCGGCCAUGGCUUGUGGAAGCGUGGUCGCUCAACGGAUAAAAGGUACCUCGGG
rnacentral:rRNA from 1 species